ACCUCAUGUUGACCAUCCUUCUGUUUUCUUACAGACAAAGUAUCCAAACCCAACAUAUCCUGUGAGAUGAGCGACACAAAGCAGGCGACACUUGUGUGCUCAACAGAGUCCAAACAUCCUCAUUUAUUAAAGUUGAAGUGGAGCUCACCAGGAAAGGAGCAGACUGGACCAAAUUUAACAAUAACUGUCAGGAAUGAAGAUGAUGAUCAAGUUUAUCGUUGUGAUGUCAGCAACCCUCUGACCAAUGAAACGGCUUCAUUCACCGCUAAGGACUGCUUCCCGGGUAAAAGAUCAGAGGCUCUACCAAUUUUCAUAUUAGUCUGUAUCUUCACUCUGGUCAUCAUCUGGUGUUGUGCUUUAUACUUCAAACGUCAACGUCUAAAAGGAUUGAACGUGUCGACUGAGGAUGAGGAGAUGGAUUCAGAAGGAGCCAUGCGACACACUGCUUCUGUUCAUGCACGUCAUUGCUCUUCAACACACUUAAACUCAAUCACUGGGAGGGGGGAGUCUGCAUACAGAAAUGAGGGUACUGUGUGGCACUGAACACCACAAAAACCAAGGGACUCAUCUUUGACUUCAGGAAAAACACCGCCCCUUUCUACAUCAACGGCGAGCAGGUGGAGAGAGUCAGCUCUUUCAGGUUCCUCGGCACCCCCAUAUCUGCUGACCUCUCCUGGACCCCAAAUACAACUGCGGUCAUCCGGAAGGCCCAGCGGAGACUCCACUUCCUGAGGAUGCUGAGGAAGAAAAAACUGGAUGGUGACCUUCUAUCGCUCGGCUGUCGGGAGCCCGCUGACGUACUGCAUAACAGUGUGGUACGCCAGCCGCACUGAAGCAGACAAAAAGGCGAUUCAGAGGGUCAGAAACUCUGCACAAAAAAAUAAUCGGCUGCCCCCCUGCCUUCCCUGAACGAUUUACACAACUCCCGUUGCCUCAACAAAGCAAAACACAUUACCAAGGACAGCACACACCCUGGCUUCCACCUGUUCCACCUGCUACCACCAGGCAGCCGCUACAGGUGCAUCAGAGCCAUGACAAACAGGCUCAGAGACAGCUUCACCAUCUUCAACUCAACCUUAUAAUAAAUGAUUCACCCCUACACAGCAUCCUACCCUGAUACCCUACUGUGCAAUAUUACCCUUUGAGUGCAAUACGUCCGACACCGAUUAUCAUUACUUAUUACUCCAAUACUCUUGUUUUGCUCUGUAUAUUGUACAGUAUUGUGUAUAUUGUAUAUUGUACAGUAUUGUGUAUAUUGUAUAUUGUACAGGAUUGCCUAUUGUUUUUAUUGGAUAGUAGUCUGUUUAUUUCAAUUCUUAUUUUGUAUCUUUAUUACUUCUUAUGUGAUUUAUUUUCAUUCCAUAUUUCUUUCCACUGCCACAUCUUAAAUUGGAGUCCUUAAUCUCAUUAUAUGCAAAUAUAAUGACAAUAAAGUCCAUUCUAUUCUAUUGUAACCCCUGUGCCACCGUGCAUCAACUUACAAUAUUCUAACAUCCCUCCCCAGAAGAAUAGGCCAUUUUCCACAAGGAACUUUUUCAGGAACUUUCCCACUUACCCGAGUACAUAAAGUGUAGUAAAUGAAUGAAUGAAUGAUGGAGUCUCACUUCUCUGUGAAGCACUUUGAGUGUCAAGAAACACGCUACUGUAUAUAAAUCUAAUCCAUUAUUAAAGCUUAUUUACCUGAUGUUGUAUACUUUUACUAUUUACAUUAAAUAUCCACGGAAUGUAAUAUAAAUAUAACAUCUCAGAUUAUAUUUGUCAUUUCAGAGCCAGGACUAUUUCCUGAGCUCUGUCUUAUAAAUUUAAAUUGAAGGUCAUCAAAUGUGUCAUGCUGUAGAUUUCAGUGUUUGUUUAUUAAGUUUCUAUUAGAUAUAUGAUGUACAGUAUCAUAUACAUUAACAUGACAGAUCAUGUACAUUUGUGAUGUAAUCAAAUAAACUGAUGUCUGACGCUCA